GUGAGGAAUAUUGGACAAUGGAUGGAAAUCUGAUCCAGCCAUGCCGCGUGCAGGAAGACGGCCCUAUGGGUUGUAAACUGCUUUUAUACGGGAGCAAUAAGGUCUAUGCAUAGAUUGAUGAGAGUACCGUAUGAAUAAGCAUCGGCUAACUCCGUGCCAGCAGCCGCGGUAAUACGGAGGAUGCGAGCGUUAUCCGGAUUUAUUGGGUUUAAAGGGUGCGUAGGCGGCUUUGUAAGUCAGCGGUGACAUUUUGCAGCUUAACUGUAAAAGCGCCGUUGAUACUGUGAAGCUAGGAUUUGGUUGCUGUGGGCGGAAUGUGUGGUGUAGCGGUAAAAUGCAUAGAGAUCACACAGAAUAUCGAUUGCGAAGGCAGCUCACAAAGCCAAUAUUGACGCUGAGGCACGAAAGUGUGGGGAUCAAACAGGAUUAGAAACCCUAGUAGUCC
rnacentral:rRNA from 1 species